rnacentral:rRNA from 1 species
CAUGUUGACUACAACCUUGUCAAUGCCCAGUCUCAUCUGGUCUCUGAAGUUAAGCAGGGAUGGGCCUGGUUAGUACUUGGAUGGGAGACAGCUGGGUGUACCAGGUGUCACAGUGG